GUGCUGGAGCUGUUGCUGGGCAGAUGGGAAGCCAGUUUGGUUCCAACUUUUCCAUGAUGUGACUUGGAGAGCCAGAUCUGCUCACUUGUCUGUUAUCUGCAGUAUUUUCAAUGAUUCUAAUAUUUCUCUGCAAGAAAGGAAGGCAAUGUGAAUUUCUGCAGCAGAUAAGAUUGAAGGGAAGAAGUAAGUGAGAAGAGUGGAAGAACAGAGUUUCUACUGAUUAUAUAUGGAAGACCUGCCAAAAGUUCCAAAACUUGUCAUCCUCGUGACUUCAAUAUCAUCUUUGUUCUUCAAUAAAAGGGCUCCACAGGACUCAUCGGCAGCCUCUUCACCAGCAGGGGAAUCUCGCCUUUUCACUGGGAUCAUGCAGAGUGCUCUCCAGACAUAGCGCGACUGGCUGCUCUCCACCACCACAGCACUGACCACGUCCUAUCUUCGAGGGAUAUAUCCUUCUGGAAGUUUCAGAGAUCCAAGAUUAGUCACAGGUAACUAUUAGGAAACAUUUGAGAGAGAAGCUGAGGCCAAGGACCAGGAAUGUAAAUGUCCAAAUACUGGACUGAAUUGUCAUCUGCCUGGAAGGGGGAACAGGCUGACCACAGGUGGGAAACACACCUGCAAGCUAUUCAUCACAGCUGAGAGAAAGAAUGGAACAAUAAAAGACCCUGGAGUCCAUCACGCCUGAAGGAAACCCCCACCUUACUCUCCAUUUUCCCUGUAUAACUACCUUAAGAUUCUUCAAUUUUUGAAGAUUUUUUUUUGUGACAUUAGUCUGCCAUCUUCCCAAUUACGCUGCCUAAUUGAACUAAAACUUCCCUCCUCAG
rnacentral:lncRNA from 1 species